UGUCAGCUCAGAUCUGGUUUCCUAAUCCAAA
rnacentral:piRNA from 1 species